rnacentral:rRNA from 1 species
CCUACGGGUGGCAGCAGUGAGGAAUAUUGGUCAAUGGACGGAAGUCUGAACCAGCCAUGCCGCGUGCAGGAAGAAGGCUCUAUGAGUUGUAAACUGCUUUUGUAAAAGGGUAAACCUGAAUACGUGUAUUCAGCUGAAAGUACUGUACGAAUAAGGAUCGGCUAACUCCGUGCCAGCAGCCGCUGUAAUACGGAGGAUCCAAGCGUUAUCCGGAUUUAUUGGGGUUAAAGGGUGCGUAGGCGGAUUGUUAAGUUAGAGGUGAAAGUUCCGGGCUUAACUCGGGAAUUUCCUCUAAAACUGUUUGUCUUGAGAGUAGUUGCGGUAGGCGGAAUGUAUGGUGUAGCGGUGAAAUGCUUAGAGAUCAUACAGAACCCCGAUUGCGAAGGCAGCUUACCAAUCUAUAUCUGACGUUGAGGCACGAAAGCGUGGGGAGCAAACAGGAUUAGAUACCCUAGUAGUC